UAGCCGUAAACGAUACUCGCUAGGUGUCGGCCACGGUGCGACCGUUGUUGGUGCCGUAGGGAAGCCGUGAAGCGAGCCACCUGGGAAGUACGGCCGCAAGGCUGAAACUUAAAGGAAUUGGCGGGGGGAGCACCACAACGGGUGGAGCCUGCGGUUUAAUUGGACUCAACGCCGGGAAGCUCACCGGAUAAGACAGCGGAAUGAUUGCCGGGCUGAAGACCCUGCAUGACCAGCUGAGAGGUGGUGCAUGGCG
rnacentral:rRNA from 1 species